GUGCACUUCCUUGUUCUGACCUUGCCUUUUAUGGGCUGGAGCGAUAUGAAUCGUAAAUAUGCCACGGCGAAGUUGUCGAAGAUGCGAGAGUGCUACGCUGUUAGAACAAUUCAUCGGUGCAUUCAAGUGUUACCUAUUAUAAGCUGCCAAAAGACCAAGCAGUGCGAAGCUCUUGGCUGACAGUGGUGCCUGCUAAUUUCCACUGCAAGGAUUUCGUCCACGAAUGUUAUCAUAGGUUACGCGCGACUCCAGAGGCAAUUUGGAAUCUCGGCACGAAAUCGUCUGAUGAAAAUCUGAGGUGCCCGACGCAUAACAUUUUGAACGUGCCACGGAGGAUCAAGGCAAAAAAACGAGAGCAAAAAAUGGUGCACGCUGAAGGCGGAAAUGAAGCAUGAUCUGGCUUGCAUCUGGUCAUGAAGAAAUUGCUGACACGUUAGUUGCAGUCCACCUCCACCAACAGGGUGGAAAACAAAGAUCGCCAUUCCGAUUAGCUGCUAUCUCCCAGUUCAAGCACUUUUGUGUCUGGACACUGGUUCCUGUGGAUGGGGUGUUACAAGCUUUACUGUCUGAUAUAGAAGUGAUGAGCAUCCAUAAGGACACAUGCCAGAAAGGGAGUCUCUUUGGGAUGACAAACCCUCAUCACCUCAUGAGGAUACAAUGGUUGACGAAUGGUUCUCAAGCACAUCGAAACUUCCAACAAAUAAUUCAUGAAAAAGCCAGUCAGUGCUAGCACCAGGAAUUGAACGUGGGCCAUCCUGCUAGCAGUCAGAGAUGUUCAGUGGUGUAGCCACGAGGGGGCUAGGGGGUCUCGAGCCCCCCCUACCUGCCACGGACCGACCCACACAAAUCGUGCAAAUCCGAGAACAUAAUAUAUGGGGGGGGACCAGUGUGACUAUCGCGAAAGUA